rnacentral:rRNA from 1 species
UAAUACGGAGGAUCCAAGCGUUAUCCGGAUUUAUUGGGUUUAAAGGGUGCGUAGGCGGGAUAAUAAGUCAGUGGUGAAAGUCUGGCAGCUUAACUGUAGAAUUGCCAUUGAUACUGUUAUUCUUGAGUGUAGUUGAAGUAGGCGGAAUGUGUAGUGUAGCGGUGAAAUGCUUAGAUAUUACACAGAACACCGAUUGCGUAGGCAGCUUACUAAGCUACAACUGACGCUGAGGCACGAAAGCGUGGGGAUCAAACAGG